rnacentral:rRNA from 1 species
UGGGUUUUUUCCCUUAUAGCGGCGAGUGAGCGGCAAAAGCUCAAAUUUGAAAUCUGGCACUUUCAGUGUCCGAGUUGUAAUUUGAAGAAGGUAUCUUUGGGUCUGGCUCUUGUCUAUGUUUCUUGGAACAGAACGUCACAGAGGGUGAGAAUCCCGUGCGAUGAGAUGUCCCAGACCUAUGUAAAGUUCCUUCGAAGAGUCGAGUUGUUUGGGAAUGCAGCUCUAAGUGGGUGGUAAAUUCCAUCUAAAGCUAAAUAUUGGCGAGAGACCGAUAGCGAACAAGUACAGUGAUGGAAAGAUGAAAAGAACUUUGAAAAGAGAGUGAAAAAGUACGUGAAAUUGUUGAAAGGGAAGGGCUUGAGAUCAGACUUGGUAUUUUGUAUGUUACUCUCUCGGGGGUGGCCUCUACAGUUUACCGGGCCAGCAUCAGUUUGGGCGGUAGGACAAUUGCAAAGAAAUGUGGCACUGCCUCGGUAGUGUGUUAUAGUCUUUGUCGAUACUGCCAGCCUAGACUGAGGACUGCGGCUUCGGCCUAGGAUGUUGGCAUAAUGAUCUUAAGUCGCCCGUCUGAAAACCCGGAAACAACACGGCCCGCGUGGUUAAGGAAAAAGACCACUUUUUUUUUUUUUAGAAACAAAACAAAUUUUUUUUAAAAGAAAAAAAAAAAAAGUUUUUUGUUUUAUGGAUAGUUCUCUU